rnacentral:rRNA from 1 species
GAUGAACGCUGGCGGCGUGCCUAAUACAUGCCAGUCAAGCGAACAGACGAGGAGCUUGCUCCUCUGACGCAAGCGGCGGCCGGGUGAGUAACACGUGGAUAACCUACCUAUAAGACUGGGAUAACUUCGGGAAACCGGAGCUAAUACCGGAUAAAAUAUUGAACCGCAUGGUUCAAUAGUGAAAGACGGUUUUGCUGUCACUUAUAGAUGGAUCCGCGCCGCAUUAGCUAGUUGGUAAGGUAACGGCUUACCAAGGCAACGAUGCGUAGCCGACCUGAGAGGGUGAUCGGCCACACUGGAACUGAGACACGGUCCAGACUCCUACGGGAGGCAGCAGUAGGGAAUCUUCCGCAAUGGGCGAAAGGCUGACGGAGCAACGCCGCGUGAGUGAUGAAGGUCUUCGGGUCGUAAAACUCUGUUAUUAGGGAAGAACAAAUGUGUAAGUAACUAUGCACGUCUUGACGGUACCUAAUCAGAAAGCCACGGCUAACUACGUG